GACGAACGCUGGCGGCGUGCUUAACACAUGCAAGUCGAACGGAAAGGCCCUGCUUUCGUGGGGUGCUCGAGUGGCGAACGGGUGAGUAACACGUGAGUAACCUGCCCUUGACUUUGGGAUAACUUCAGGAAACUGGGGCUAAUACCGGAUAGGAGCUCCUGCUGCAUGGUGGGGGUUGGAAAGUUGCGGCGGGUGGGGAUGGACGCGCGGCUUAUCAGCUUGUUGGUGGGGUAGUGGCUUACCAAGGCAUUGACGGGUAGCCGGCCUGAGAGGGUGACCGGCCACAAUGGGACUGCGAUACGGCCCAGAGUCGUACGGGAGGCAGCAGUGAGGAAUAUUACACAAUGGGAGGAAGCCUGAUGCAGCAGCGCUGCGUGCGGGAUGACGGCCUGCGGGUUGUAAACCGCAUUCGCCUGUGACGAAGCGUGAGUGACGGUAAUGAGUAAAGAAGCACCGGCUAACUACGUG
rnacentral:rRNA from 1 species